rnacentral:rRNA from 1 species
GGACUACCAGGGUAUCUAAUCCGGUUCGCUCCCCACGCUUUCGCGCCUCAGCGUCAGGUCACCCCCAGCCGGCCGCCUUCGCCACUGGUGUUCCUCCCGAUCUCUACGCAUUUCACCACUACACCGGGAAUUCCACCGGCCUCUGAGUGCCUCCAGUCCGGCAGUCUCCACCGCACCCUCCCAGUUGAGCCGGGAGAUUUCACGACAGACUUACCGCACCGCCUGCGCGCGCUUUACGCCCAAUAAAUCCGGACAACGCUCGCCACCUACGUAUUACCGCGGCUGCUGGCAC